rnacentral:misc_RNA from 1 species
GCGGGGAGUGGGACGUUUGGUAGUGUCGAGUCUUGAAGACGUGAGGGCGUGUGAGAUGUUAUCGGGAUGUUUGUGCUGCUCGGCUCUGUGUUCAUGGUCAUCGAACUGCUAGCAUGCAACCCAUAUCAGGCUUGCCUGGCGCCUUCGGGCCUUGGUGUUCACUUGUGGUUCCUGUGUUGACUACCGGUUUAGCGGUAUUCAUGUGCCCUAUUGAGACCCGUUCCGUCCAGACCCCCUCUUGGAGGUUGCUGGCGGAUUUGAAAGUGAUGCGUGUUAUGGCGUUAGUUGUGCGUUGUUACGGCUCACGUCCUCACAUGCGUCAAUUGUUCCCUUGGAUGCGGUGCAUGCGGUGAAACGGGGUGUGCUGGUUGUGCCCCGUUGAGUCCCUUUUGAUAUAUCGGUUGCCUUAGAAAGACACUUUGCCGUUGUGCCGGUAUUGCUACCCCUUUGGUGGUGGCAACACUUGCUUGCACGUCGAGCUGAGUCGUCAAUGGGUGCUACCUGGUUGAUC